GGGUGCGCGCCACGCGGACGGAGUCGGCGCCUGUGGAUAGCUACAAGUGUGUAGCGGAAGGUUAGCGCCGAAAAAGAGCUGUAACAACCUUAGCCGACAGUAACGUCCGGGUGGGCGACACCAGGACCCCUCCAGUGAGUCACGAUCAAGCUCCAGUGCUCAAGCAAGUCAGCGUCUGCUCUCCGCCCGCCCAGAGAAGGGGGAUCCGGGAAGCAGGGGACCAGGGCGCGACCUCAGCAUCCCCGCCCCCACCCGUGGUCGCGAGUACUCGGGCACGGCCCGGGCGCCCCAUUAGCUAGCCUAAAUUCACUGGGCGCAGAAGACACGGCUUUUCUGCACUCUCGCCUCCGGGAAGGUCUCUGCUCCUGGUUGUCUGGAGAGAUGUGGAAUUCCCCCUACGAAGGGUGCGUGGGGAAAGAGCCAGCCCAGAGUUUCCAGACGGCCAGAGUCCCUGACAGGCGAGGAGAUUUCACUUCCGGGUCGCGGCAUGCUGCGUGGAGGCGGGAAGACCAAGUUCAACUCAAAUUGGCAACCUAGUCCCGGUCUCUGCUCAGCCUCUUGGACUUGGGGUUCCUAAAGUUGAGUGUGGCCCACCAGCCACAAGUAGGGGCAGAAACUAUAGCAGAGGAUGAUAGAGGAGAAAUACACCAGCGCACUGCGGCUUUCUAACUUGGUUUGUACUUGUCUAUCAGCCUUGUCACCAGAGUCAGAUCAUCAAUCACUGUUUAUUAAACAAAAUGGUGGGCUAGAGGGGCUAGUUACUACUUGGC